CAAAUCCUUUCACCUUUCUAUCAGCCCAGUUUGGUAUCCUGCCUGCUCCCUUGCUGGUGUGGAUUCAGAACAGGAUGCAACCAGCUGGCAUCAAUAAAUGUCAUCUACAGAGACAUGCCUGUGC